GCAUGGCAGAAGCUCAAGUUAUGCCUGGUUCACACUACAUGAUUCUAGCCCUGAUUUUCGCUCGGUGACGGGUCGGUGCUGGAUUCGGGAGGAACUCGGUGUUCGCUCUGCGAUCAAAACUCGGCUCUCAAUCAAUGGAAGAGGUUUAGGAGUCAAACAGAGGACGGCGUGGAUGAACCAGAUAACCGUCUCAAUAAUUCUCCAAAUCUCAAGACCUUAUCCACCAUGGCCAAACUGGAAGACUGGGUCUCUGAUCCUGAAAACAGCCAGAAACUGAUUGAUGACCUGGAGAAGAAGCUCAAACAGGGUGAAAUUGAGGCUUUGAAAGAUUCUCUGAAGGAUAAGAAGCUGAAAAAGAGUCUGUGUCUCACUGCUAAAGAGAUUAACGAGAUCAGUCGUAAAAAAGAACUAAAGUUGUUUCUCGAACAGAGAAAAAGCUACAUUUCCUAAAUCGAUGUUAGGGUUGUUUUUUGAAAAGGACAAAGACCACGUUACAGCUGCAAAAGUAUCGAUGUUGGUAGAAAAUGAUGAUGAUUAAGAGUUCAUGCAGAUAAAUGCAGAAGAGUCAGGCAGCAGUAGAUAUGGAUCGUCAUUUAGCUUGACUGACCGCUCACUGUCACAAACUAAUGAUCAGUUACAGGUUGUGACAAGCCUUCAUACCAUCAGUCACCCAAUAGUCACUGGCGUUCCAUGUAGUGAGAAGAAAACUAGCGACAGUGAGUCCAAAAACGCUGAUCUGGGCUGUGUAUCGCCAGCAGAGGAGCUUGGUUCUCGAUCAUUACAGACAUGUGAACCAACAGUGGUCCAGGAGAAAGAUAAACUUCUACCAACAGAGGACCUGCAGGAGGUACAGUUUAAGAAUACACCUCAAAUAUCAGAUGUUCCGAGAUCUGAGAAAAAUUUUUAUGAUGGUCAUCAGAAUAAGUGUUUUGGUACCUCUCUACAUGCAGUAGUGGACGAGCCAAUGAAAAACAAGGGGCUGCAAGAUCUUAAGAUCAAAGCAAGAAGUGGUUCUGAUGUCCCAAAGCAUCCAUAUGUUCUUCAUGGUGAUCAGAAUAAGUGUUACGGUACCUCUCUACAUGCAGUAGUGGAUAAGCCGAUGCAAAAUGAGGGGCUGCUAGAACUCCAGUGUAAGGAAAGAUGUGGUUCUGAUGUCCUAAAUCAUCCAGAUGUUUUUGAUAUCCUUCAGGACCAGAAUGAGCAUUAUGUUACCUCUCAUCCUGCAGCAGCAGGUGACCUGAUGCAAAACGGGGGACUGCAAGAUCUUCAGUUCAAAGAAAGAAAUGGUUCAGAUGUCCUAAAGCAUCCAGAUGUUCUUGAUGGUGAUCAGAAUGAGAAUUACGCUACCUCUCCACAUGCAGUAGUGGACGAGCCAAUGGAAAAUGAGGGG